rnacentral:rRNA from 1 species
UGGCUCAGGAUGAACGCUAGCGACAGGCUUAACACAUGCAAGUCGAGGGGCAGCGGGGGCGUAGCAAUAUGCCUGCCGGCGACCGGCGCACGGGUGAGUAACACGUAUGUAACCUGCCCUAUGCAGGGGGAUAACCCGGAGAAAUCCGGCCUAAUACCGCGUAACACCUUAGGGGAGCAUUCUCUUGAGGUUAAAGGAGAGAUCCGGCAUAGGAUGGACAUGCGUCGCAUUAGGUAGACGGCGGGGUAACGGCCCACCGUGCCGACGAUGCGUAGGGGUUCUGAGAGGAAGGCCCCCCACACUGGUACUGAGACACGGACCAGACUCCUACGGGAGGCAGCAGUGAGGAAUAUUGGUCAAUGGCCGAGAGGCUGAACCAGCCAAGUCGCGUGAGGGAAGAAUGUCCUAAGGAUUGUAAACCUCUUUUGUCGGGGAGCAAAAAGGCUCUGCGGAGUCGUAUUGAGAGUACCCGAAGAAAAAGCAUCGGCUAACUCCGUGCCAGCAGCCGCGGUAAUACGGAGGAUGCGAGCGUUAUCCGGAUUUAUUGGGUUUAAAGGGUGCGCAGGCGGCGUGUCAAGCAAGCGGUAAAAUAGCGGGGCUCAACCCCGUCGAGCCGUUUGAACUGGCGCGCUUGAGUUCAGGCGAGGUAGGCGGAAUUCGUGGUGUAGCGGUGAAAUGCAUAGAUAUCACGAAGAACUCCGAUUGCGAAGGCAGCUUACCAGUCUGCGACUGACGCUCAGGCACGAAAGUGUGGGUAUCGAACAGGAUUAGAUACCCUGGUAGUCCACACAGUAAACGAUGAGCGCUAGGUGUCCGGGUCGCAUGAGACUUGGGUGCCCGAGCGAAAGCGUUAAGCGCUCCACCUGGGGAGUACGCCGGCAACGGUGAAACUCAAAGGAAUUGACGGGGGCCCGCACAAGCGGAGGAACAUGUGGUUUAAUUCGAUGAUACGCGAGGAACCUUACCCGGGCUCAAACGACUCAGGAAUAUAUUGGAAACGAUGUAACCAGCAAUGGUCUGAGUCGAGGUGCUGCAUGGUUGUCGUCAGCUCGUGCCGUGAGGUGUCGGCUUAAGUGCCAUAACGAGCGCAACCCCUACCACCAGUUGCCAACGGGUAAAGCCGGGAACUCUGGCGGGACUGCCGGCGCAAGCUGCGAGGAAGGCGGGGAUGACGUCAAAUCAGCACGGCCCUUACGUCCGGGGCGACACACGUGUUACAAUGGCAGGUACAGCGGGAAGCCACCUGGUGACAGGGAGCGGAACCCGAAAGCCUGUCUCAGUUCGGAUUGGAGUCUGCAACUCGACUCCAUGAAGCUGGAUUCGCUAGUAAUCGCGCAUCAGCCAUGGCGCGGUGAAUACGUUCCCGGGCCUUGCACUCACCGCCCGUCA